UAGUUGCUUAAAGAGGCAACGUUCUUAUGCUUAUGUUAGCAUUUGUUUGAACGAGCGCUUUCCGCUUAGAAAUGGCACAACAGGCGCGGAUUCUAUUACCAGUGAAUUUAUUUACUGUGAAGCGAUAGAGUGACGCAGAGAGAAUGUAGCUGCAGCUGUGGGAUGAACAGCAAGACAUUUAUUUUACCUGUGUGUUGGUAACAUUGGCCAAACAUAAAUACUUUUGCGAAACGAUGUCCUUUUAAAUAUAAAAGAAAACAUACCUUGAGUUAACAUCGUCAAACAUUCCAGUAGACUGUAUGAAGUACGGACAAAUGACUGUCGUAAACACACCCUGCGCUCGGAGAUGCUCAAGUUCCAAUCGUAACGCUUCAUCAAAACCAACCUGUACCAUUCAACCGUAAAAUAAAAAAAAAGUAAUCCGCAUAAGUACCAAAUUACAAAAUACAUAAUACUGAGCGUUACUCUGCUCAUACUUACCGCUGCAAAUUUACUGGAACAGUAAUCUACCAACUUUGAUAUACCAACAUGGCCGGCAAGAGAGGCAAUCGUUAUGAUAUGUCCAUGAUCGUUUUUCAGCAUUGCUGGUAGGAAUGCUUUUGUCGUC